GGAGCCGUAGCGAAAGCGAGUUUUAACUGAGCGUUCAGUUACUUGACGUAGACCCGAAACCGGGCGACCUACCCAUGAGCAGGAUGAAGCGAAAGGAAAAUUUCGUGGAGGUCCGAACCCACGAGCGUUGAAAAGCUCGGGGAUGACUUGUGGGUAGCGGUGAAAUUCCAAUCGAGCCCGGAGAUAGCUGGUUCUCCCCGAAAUAGCUUUAGGGCUAGCCUCAAGGUGAGAGAUACGGAGGUAGAGCACUGAAUGUCCUAGGGGGUAUUGCACCUACCGAAGACUAUCAAACUCCGAAUGCCGUCAUCUUAUACUUGGGAGUCAGACUGUGGGUGAUAAGAUUCAUAGUCGAAAGGGCAACAGCCCAGAUCGUCAGCUAAGGUCCCUAAAUGUAAGUUAAGUGGUAAAGGAUGUGGGAUUGCACAGACAACCAGGAUGUUGGCUUAGAAGCAGCCACUCAUUCAAAGAGUGCGUAAUAGCUCACUGGUCGAGUGAUCCUGCGCCGAAGAUUUCCGGGGCUAAAACUUACUACCGAAGCUACGGCAUCAGUAAUGAUGGGUAGGGGAGCUUCCCAUACGGGUUGAAGCAUGACCGUAAGGACAUGUGGACAGUAUGGGAGUGAGAAUGUUGGCAUGAGUAGCGAGAUGUGGGUG
rnacentral:rRNA from 1 species